GAUGAACGCUGGCGGCGUGCCUAACACAUGCAAGUCGAGCGAACGAACGAGACUCUUGCUUCUCUGAUGUUGCCGGCGGGCGGGUGAGUAACACGUGGAUUACCUCCCUAUCAGACUGGGAUAACGUCGGCAAACCGUAGCUAAUACCGGAUACUAUUUUGAUCCGCUUGGUUCAAAAGUGAAGGACGGUCUUGCUGUCACUUAUGGAUGGAUCCGCGCUGCAUUAGCUAGUUGGUAAGGUAACGGCUUACCAAGGCAACGAUGCAUAGCCGACCUGAGAGGAGGAUCGGCCACACUGGAACUGAGACACGGUCCAGACUCCUACGGGAGGCAGCAGUAGGGAAUCUUGCGCAAUGGGCGAAAGCCUGACGGAGCAACGCCGCGUGAGUGAUGAAGGUCUUCGGAUUGUAAAACUCUGUUAGUAGGGAAGAACAUAUGUGUGAGUAACUGUGCACAUCUUGACGGUACCUAAUCAGGAAGCCACGGCUAACUACGUG
rnacentral:rRNA from 1 species